GUCCCGGCCCUAAACGGUGCGCAUUUGCUGUGAGCGGAAUCGACCCCGCUCGUGGCGGAGCUAACGCGUUAAAUGCGCCGCCUGGGGAGUACGGCCGCAAGGUUAAAAACUCAAAGAAAUUGACGGGGGCCUGCACAAGCGGUGGAGUAUGUGGCUUAAUUCGAUGCAACGCGAAGAACCUUACCUGGCCUUGACAUGCAAGUGGUAGAAGCCUGAAAGGGUGACGAUCCCGCAAGGGAAGCUUGCACAGGUGCUGCAUGGCUGUCGU
rnacentral:rRNA from 1 species